GGUAUAGGGGCGAAAGACUAAUCGAACCGUCUAGUAGCUGGUUCCCUCCGAAGUUUCCCUCAGGAUAGCUGGAGCCUUGCACUGUUUUGUCAUGUAAAGCGAAUGAUUAGCGGCCUCGGGGAACAGGAUUCCUCGACCUAUUCUCAAACUUUAAAUGGACAAGUUGCACUGAGUACCUUUCCGGACUCUGUGUAAAGCAAAGGAAGACUCCAAGUGGGCCUGUUUUGGUAAGCAGAACUGGCGAUGAGGGAUGCACCUAACGCUGCCUUAAGGUACAAAUAGUUGCUCAUGAGACACCAUAAAAGGUGUUGAUACAUUUUGACAGCAGGACGGUGGUCAUGGAAGUUGAAACCCGCUAAGGAGUGUGUAACAACUCACCUGCCGAAUGUAUCAGCCCUGAAAAUGGAUUGCGCUACAGCAGCCCUACCGAUGUGCAGCCAUUUAAGCAAAAGCAAUGUGCUUAGUGUGUAGGAGGGCGUGGCGGACGUUAAGAAGCUGGCAACGUGAGUUCCUGCUGAACGGCCGCCAGUGCAGAUCUUGGUGGUAGUAGUAUGUAUUCAAAUGUGAAUUUUGAGGGCUGAAGUGGAGAAGGGUUCCAUGCAAACAGAAUUUGGACAUGGGUAAGCCGGUCCUAAGAGGAAGGAAAAGUCUGUCAAGUGUUGCUUUGCGACUUGUUCCUCGAUUGGGAAUGAGGUUAAAAUUCCUCAGCCACAUGUACAGACGCAUCGAAGGCGGUAACGUUUUGCGCAUCCGAAACGUAGGAAGAAGACCCGGAAAGCGUUGUCUUUGCUUCUUAACACGAUUUCUUACCCUGUAAUCCGCUUGGCUGGAGCAAGGGUUGAAUGAGGGUAUAGCACUUCGGUUUCUGAGGUGUCCGGUGUUCUUUUGACUACUCCGAAAACUCGGAAACGGCAUGUCUUACAUUUUUGGCCGUACCAAUAUCCGCAUCAGGUCUCCGAGGUGAACAGCCUCUGGUCUACUAGAUCCUUGUAGAUAAGGGAAGUCGGCAAAUCAGAUCCGUAACUUUGGAAGAAGGAUUGGCUCUGGGGACUGAGCGAAGGCUGCUCGUUGUGUUCCUUUUCUGCUUCUUUGAGCUACUUGACGCCGCUCUGCGGUGGACAGUGGAUCAUUGAGGUGGGAUUGGAACGUGGCGUGUUCUUGCUUCGGCAAGUGUUUGUUUUCGUGAGCAUCGGUCGACUCAGAACUGGAGCGGAGAAGGGGAAUCCGACUGUUUAAUUAAAACAGAGCAUUGCGAUUUCCGCAAACGGUGUUGACGCAAUGUGAUUUCUGCCCAGUGCUCUGAAUGUCAAGGUGAUGAAAUUUAAAGAAGCGCGGGUAAACGGCGGGAGUAACUAUGACUCUCUUAAGGUAGCCAAAUGCCUCGUCAUCUAAUUAGUGACGCGCAUGAAUGGAUUAACGAGAUUCCCACUGUCCCUAUCUACUAUCUAGCGAAACCACAGCCAAGGGAACGGGCUUGGAAGAAUCAGCGGGGAAAGAAGACCCUGUUGAGCUUGACUCUAGUCUGACGUUGUGAAGAGACAUGAGAGGUGUAGAAUAAGUGGGAGCGUAAGCAACAGUGAAAUACCACUACUUUUAUCGUUUCUUUACUUACUCGAUGAAGCGGAAGGCGGCCUCACGGCCACACUUCUAGAUUUAAGCGUUAGUCCUCGUGACUUUCGCGAUCCGCUUUGACGACAGCGUCAGGCGGGGAGUUUGACUGGGGCGGUACAUCUGUCAAAUCGUAACGCAGGUGUCCUAAGGCGAGCUCAGCGAGGACAGAAACCUCGCGUAGAGCAAAAGGGCAAAUGCUCGCUUGAUUUUGAUUUUCAGUACGAAUACAGACCGUGAAAGCGCGGCCUAUCGAUCCUUUUGAUUUUACGAGUUUUAAGCAAGAGGUGUCAGAAAAGUUACCACAGGGAUAACUGGCUUGUGGC
rnacentral:rRNA from 1 species